GAACCAACAAAUCUGGAAUCACAAAUCUGACCACUAAAAAGCCCAAUCAUCCAUAUUAGAAAAUCCCAACCCAACCAUCGAAAUGAGACCAUUAAUUGACACUAAAAAAUCAGGUUAGUGGAUAACAUCCAAAAAAUUUCAUCAAGAUCUGCACAUUCUGAAAAAAUCAACUGUUCACCUUAUAAAAGAAAUCACACCCAAUCAAAUGACAGCUCACACCAAAAAAUUAUUCAAAACUGACCAUCACCAUCACAAAAUUAUUAAAUUUCUAACAAUGUUUAACCAAAACCAGCAGUUCCGGUCGAUCUUAAGACACUCCCUCACCUUCCAUCUACACAUGAAUCUAUCACCAAAAACACAUAUAACUCUAUCCUAAAUAUCAUAAAUUCACUUAGCUAGCUACAAGUUCUACAAAGACACUCAUACUUUCCCUUGCCUUUGAGACCUCUCUAUACACAAGCCACACUAAGAUUUCCAUCUACCCAAGCACCACCUCACACGAUUGCCGGAUGACCCCUCGUCGGAGUUCCGUCUUCGUUUGUAUCCCAACCUCGCCGUAGUCUGGAAGUUUUUCACUCCACUUCCGUUUCCUUUUUCCUCCCUCCCCUG
rnacentral:lncRNA from 1 species